UGGUUUUUGUGUGUCCUGGGAUGGUUUUUAUGUGUCCUGGAGUGAUUUUUGUGUGUCCCAGCUGAGCCAGAGCCCUCUGAGGAAGCUCUGCCUGGCCCUGCAGGGUGAACUUGGCUCCAUCUCCAGGGGUUGGGCUCAGCCCAGGGUUAGUCCUGACACGGAAAACUUUGACACAGGGGGUGUAAUGAGCUCAGGCACCACAAGGGAGGGGGAGGAAGGUCCUCAAGGUGUGUCCUGGAAUGGUUUUUGUGCACCCUGGGAUGGUUUUUGUGUGUCCCAGCCGAGCCAGAGCCCCCUGAGGAAGCUCUGCCUGUCCCUACAGGGUGUCCUUGGCUCCAUCUCCAGGGGUUGGGCUCAGCCCAGGGUCAGUUCUGGUGUGGUAGGAUUUGAAAAGCUCGAGGCAGAGGAGUGAGGAAGGAGCUCAGAGUGUGUCCUGGGCUGGUUUGUGUGUCCCAGCUGAGUCAGGGCCCUCUAAAGAAGCUCUGCCUGGCCCUGCAGGGUGAACUUGGUUUCAUCUCCAGGGGUUGAACUCUGCCCAGGGUUAGAUCUGGGGUGGUGGGACUGGAAAAGCUCGGGACAGAGGAGUGAGGAAGGAGCUCAGAGUGUGGCCUGGGUUGGGCAGAGCCCUCUGAUGGUGCAGAAUGUGCUUUGCCUGGCCCUGCAGGGUGUCCUUGGUUUGAGCUCCAGGGGUUGGGCUCAGCCCAGGGUUAGAUCUGACACGGAAAACUUUGACACAGGGGGUGUGACGUGCUCAGACACCACAAGGGAGGGGGAGGAAGGAAGUCAAAGUGUGUGCUGGGCUGGUUUGUGUGUGCUGGGCUGAUUUUUGUGUGUCCUGGGCUGAGUCAGAGCCCUCUAAAGAAGCUCUGCCUGGCCCUGCAGGGUGUCCUUGGUUUGAGCUCCAGGGGUUGAACUCUGCCCAGGGUUAGAUCUGACGUCAUGGGGCAGGAGACAGGGGGUGUGACGAGCUCAGACACCACAAGGGAGGGGGAGGAAGGUCCUCAAGGUGUGUCCUGGAAUGGUUUUUGUGUGUCCUGGAAUGGUUUUUGUGUGUCCUGGGCUGAUUUUUGUGUGUCCUGGGCUGCUUUGUGUCCAUCCCAACCUCUUCAGACCCCCUGAAGGAAGCAGGCCCUGCCCUCCAUCCCUUUUCUCCCCCAACCCCGGGGUGGAUUUUCCCCUCCCUCCAACCCAACCAACCCUUCCCUCUCCUCUC